rnacentral:rRNA from 1 species
GAUGAACGCUGGCGGCGUGCCUAAUACAUGCAAGUCGAGCGAAUGGAUUAAGAGCUUGCUCUUAUGAAGUUAGCGGCGGACGGGUGAGUAACACGUGGGUAACCUGCCCAUAAGACUGGGAUAACUCCGGGAAACCGGGGCUAAUACCGGAUAAUAUUUUGAACUGCAUGGUUCAAAAUUGAAAGGCGGCUUCGGCUGUCACUUAUGGAUGGACCCGCGUCGCAUUAGCUAGUUGGUGAGGUAACGGCUCACCAAGGCAACGAUGCGUAGCCGACCUGGGAGGGUGAUCGGCCACACGGGGACCGAGACACGGCCCAGACUCCUACGGGAGGCAUCAGUAGGGAAUCUUCCGCAAUGGACGAAAGUCUGACGGAGCAACGCCGCGUGAGUGAUGAAGGCUUUCGGGUCGUAAAACUCUGUUGUUAGGGAAGAACAAGUGCUAGUUGAAUAAUCUGGCACCUUGACGGUACCUAACCAGAAAGCCACGGCUAACUACGUGCCAGCCGCCGCGGUAA